AAGUCGUAACAAGGUUUCCGUAGGUGAACCUGCGGAAGGAUCAUUAACACGUAUCCAACGUUAAAACCCCCCGUGAACCUUUAUUGUGGCACGCCUAUCCGUUAGAAAGUGGCAAUCCCUGGUAAAUCAUCGCCGAACAGUUUUGAUUCAGGGACUUCUGCGUGGGUAGGACAACUGCGCGAGCAAGUGGCCUUUGGUGGCCGCACAAUUAAGCGCAGGCCCGUUUUCAUGCAAAGGUGAUUAGGGGGCCGAGGGCCCAUUGACCCGGUCGCCGGCCGUGUUGGCCUCUAGCGAUCGUGAUUGCGCCACCCGUACAGAGCUAGUGACACUUUCAGACACUAACAAGCAGAGGGAUGCCACUCGAACAACUGUUAACAAUGGAUAUCUUGGUUCUC
rnacentral:misc_RNA from 1 species